GAUGAACGCUGGCGGCGUGCCUAAUACAUGCAAGUCGAGCGAACAGACGAGGAGCUUGCUCCUCUGACGUUAGCGGCGGACGGGUGAGUAACACGUGGAUAACCUACCUAUAAGACUGGGAUAACUUCGGGAAACCGGAGCUAAUACCGGAUAAUAUAUUGAACCGCAUGGUUCAAUAGUGAAAGACGGUUUUGCUGUCACUUAUAGAUGGAUCCGCGCCGCAUUAGCUAGUUGGUAAGGUAACGGCUUACCAAGGCGACGAUGCGUAGCCGACCUGAGAGGGGGAUCGGCCACACUGGAACUGAGACACGGUCCAGACUCCUACGGGAGGCAGCAGUAGGGAAUCUUCCGCAAUGGGCGAAAGCCUGACGGAGCAAAGCCGCGUGAGUGAUGAAGGUCUUCGGAUCGUAAAACUCUGUUAUUAGGGAAGAACAAAUGUGUAAGUAACUAUGCACGUCUUGACGGUACCUAAUCAGAAAGCCACGGCUAACUACGUG
rnacentral:rRNA from 1 species